GAAGGUCACGGCGAGACGAGCCGUUUAUCAUUACGAUAGGUGUCAAGUGGAAGUGCAGUGAUGUAUGCAGCUGAGGCAUCCUAACAGACCGGUAGACUUGAACCUUGUUCCUACAUGACCCGAUCAAUUCGAUCAGGCACUCGCCAUCUAUUUUCAUUGUUCAACUCUUUGACAACAUGAAAAACCAAAAGUUCUGCCCUCCCUCUCGGAAGGGCAG
rnacentral:rRNA from 1 species